ACCUACAGUGUAGAGUGCACUGAAAUCACGGAAGCGUGAAGUGUUACAGUCGGUGUUUUUACUGCUAUUGUCAAGUUUUAUGGGGGUUAUUAUCGGAUUAACGGUUCUUUUAUGAUAAAGAACACUCAAUUAUGUAACACUUAGGACAAACUGGCACAAAAAUCAAUGAUUAUAACGAUAUAUAAGGCGGCUACUCUUUAAUCAAUACCAUGGUAACGGUAUUGUUAUUUACACAUUAGUUAAAGAUUGUUCAUAUUUUUCACAGUUUAUGUUGAUGGCUUUCGUAUAUAAAGACACAUAAAUUAUAUGAUUACAUAUUCACAAGCAAUCAUGGCGUUUCAUGACUUCUUUAAUCCUCGAAAGCGUGCUUAAGAAAUUGAAAGAAAUGAAAGCAAUGAAAAUCCUUAAAAAUUGCAAAAACAUGAUAAUUCUGGAGCAAAGCGAAAAUUCAAUGAUAGCUGGAAGUCAGAAUUCCCUUUCAUUUCAUAUGAUGCAAAAACAAAGUCAAUGUUUUGUGACUACUGUGUUAAAAGCCAGUUCGAAAAUGCAUUUACAUCUGGUUGUAUACUCAAACCCGGUUGAGUCGCGGGUCGUUUUGACUCGCGGUAUUUCAUUAGCGCCCUCUGGAUUGUGUUUGUAAACAAACCUGCGUGACCUACUUUUGAAAUCUGACAGAAAACAUCUUUUGCUGCCAGUAUGAAUAGAUUUUUGGUAAGCAACUACCAAAAAACGAUUUAAAACAUCAUUUUAAAUAAAAAUUAUGUAAAAAUCCAUGUUAAAAUGAAAUUUCCCUUUCAACUUUUUCACUUUUUAAGUUCGUCUGCUUGCGGUUGCUUAGGUCAGACACUACCAAUAUUAUUCUCUUUGUGAAGGGGUUACACACCACCGAUUUUUAAAAAUUAUUUCGAUAGGUCAGGCUCUAUAAACACUUCAAUAUUAAGCUAAUAGAUUCAUCUCUUGAAAGUGACACAGAUGACGUAUGCUGUGUGUGUAAGAAAAGUAGUCCACCUGCAUUGAGGAAGGAUGUUUCGGUUGUUUUUUUGUGAAAUGGGAUGAAUGUAGUGUGUGUGCACAUUGGGUACAUCUGAGCUUCUGCACUGAUGUACGUUUCUUGAGGCGAGAUAGCUUCUUCAGGUGUCCCCAUUGCGCAGAAGAAUGAAUGAACAUGAACAGUUAUUUGAAUAUUGAGAAUUAAAAUUAGACACUGCUUGAACAUAACUGUGAUAUUUAUUUUAUUUGAUGUAUUAAAUUCCAUAUGUUCUAAUUGUUAUAUACGUUAUUGAUUGUUACUUUGAAUAGUAUGUCAGAUCUUUAUGUUUAUUCAUGUUAAAUUUAAUAUUAGUGUCGUUUAACCUAUUUACCGCGAGUCAACCGGGAGGGAAAAUAAACAACAAUGGCGGACAGUGGUGUUGUUUUUGUUGAUACCGCAGUUAAAAUUGAAGGAUUUUCGUCAUAAAAAGGCUAUUUUCCAAUGAAGUUAAGUCAGAUAUGUUUGUCUUUUAAAUUAUUUAUCUGAUAUUUGAAGAUGGUUUCUAGACGCAAUUGAAUAUUCCUUAAGUACCGCGACUCACCCGGGUUGCAGGCUAACGUUAUGAAAAAGGAGUCCUUAACUAAGCAUGUAAAAACAAAGGAACACCAGACUGCUGCUAAGGCAAUGCAGCUUCGGAAGGAUAUGGCUGCUGCCAGCAAAUCAUCAAUCUCAAAGAAUGAGGCAGCAGUGAAGGCAGCGCUCACCAAUGUGCUGUUCCUGGCAAAGAAGAUGGUUAUAUGUGAUUGUUUAUCAUGUGCAAACCAAUGUUUUUAUGUAUAAAUAAAGCUUAUUAAGACUAA